ACAGAAACUUCAUGAGAUGGGCAUUAUCAUUCUCAUUUUGCAGCUGAGAACAGCAAGGCUCAGAUACAUCAUGGGCUGAAUCCAGACAUGAACCCAGUAUUUCAAAGCUCAAGAAUCUGCUAGGUUUUGGCGUCCACAUGCUAAGCCCGAAGGGGACUUCAGCAUUCUGCUUUGUCAGCCUGAAAGGAAGGAUGCACUGUUUCCACAUGAGUUCAUCCUAAAACAAUACUUCUUGGAAGGCUGGACUUGAUAGAGAAUUCAGUUAAGUAGUAUUCGGUGGUUACCUAGGCUCCAACUAUUAACUAUUCCCCAGGAUCAGGUUGGCCUCCCUGCCGCUCCAAGUCACUGCUUUCUAGGAGUUAACAGCUGCUUCCUAAUUCACUUUUUUAAAAGUACUUUUUCCUAAUUUUGUUUCUGGAAAGUGUUCUUACAAAAGAGGUCUAUUUCGCAUGAGAAGACCUGAGGCCUGCUUCCCCAUGAGCUGAGCUCUGAAUAUGCAGCUUCUAUCUUACAUAACGCCCCCCACCCCAUCACACCUGACUGCCUGGAGUUGAAUUUAUUAAACUGAUCCUUUGCGUGAGCAGAGGCAUCGCUUUCAAAACCGAGCAGUAAGCAAAUGACUAACUGCUUUCCCAUCUGCACACAUUCUGCAUCGGCUUUCAGGGGGGUUUACCUACUACGUCUAAAGUAGUUAUGAAUAAUCAAAAUAUAGUUUUCAGAAGAACUGCUCAUUACACAUUACAUCACAUGACACUUCCAUCUCAGUUCAAGAAAAAAAACAAAAACCAAAAAAACAAAACCUUAAGAAAUGCAUCUGCAGACAAAUUUUCCUGAUUGAGUGUCAUUUUGUUCACCCUUGGCAGCCAGGACAGAUAAAAUGUUGGCAUAAUAAAUUGCAAUUUUUAUCUAAAGUUUUCGAUUCUCUUUGAAAUUCUUGGUUGAAGAUCAAAAUGGACCAAAGUUUUCUCAGUUUUCCCACUGGGAACUGCUUUUGUGAAGAAAGCUUAAUUGAUUUGAUAAACAUUUUUUUCAUUACUAC
rnacentral:lncRNA from 1 species